rnacentral:ncRNA from 1 species
AAAAAAAUUUUUUAUGGUUUAAAAAAAUUUAUUUUAAGUUUGUUUUACAUAUAAAUUUUAGUGUUGUUUAUUAAUUAUUUAAAUAAUAUUUAAUAUUUAUUGUAGUAAUUAAUUUUAAAAAUUUAAGAAAUUAAGAUUUAGUGAUAUUUAUAUUUAAUAACUAAUUUUGUGCCAGCAGUUGCGGUUAUACAAAGGUUAAUUUAAAUUUUUUUAGUAAUUAAUUAAUAAUAUUUAAAUAUAAUUUAAAAUUUGAAUUAUAAAGUGAAAUUUUAAUUUAAAAAAAAUUAUUUUAUUUUUAUGAUUUAAUAAAAUUUUAUUUUAAACUAGGAUUAGAUACCCUAUUAUAAAAAUUUAAAUUAAUAAUACUUAAAAAGUAAAUAAUUAUUUAUUGAAACUUAAAUAAUUUGGCGGUAUUUUAGUUUAUUUAGAGGAAUCUGUUUAAUAAUUGAUAAUUCACGAAUAAAUUUACUUGAUUUAUUAUUUUGUAUAUCGUUGUUAAAAAAAUAUUUUUUAAUAAUAAUUAAUAUUUAAAAAUUUUUAUUUAAAAUUAAAUCAGAUCAAGAUGCAGAUUAUAAUUAAGAAUAAAAUGGAUUACAAUAAAUUUAUUUAAUUUGAAUUUAAAUAUGAAAUUAUUUAAUGAAAUUGGAUUUAAAUGUAAUUUUAAAUAAAUUUUUAUAAUGAUUAUUCAUUAAAAUAUGUACAUAUUGCCCGUCGCUUUCAUUUAUAAUUUGAAAUAAGUCGUAACAAAGUAGGGGUACUGGAAAGUGUUUCUAGAAAGAU